AGAUUGAACGCUGGCGGAAUGCUUUACACAUGCAAGUCGAACGGCAGCACGGGGGCAACCCUGGUGGCGAGUGGCGAACGGGUGAGUAAUACAUCGGAACGUGCCCAGUCGUGGGGAUAACGUAGCGAAAGCUACGCUAAUACCGCAUACGAUCUAUGGAUGAAAGCGUGGGAUCGCAAGACCUCGCGCGAUUGGAGCGGCCGAUGGCAGAUUAGGUAGUUGGUGGGUAAAGGCUCACCAAGCCUGCGAUCUGUAGCUGGUCUGAGAGGACGACCAGCCACACUGGGACUGAGACACGGCCCAGACUCCUACGGGA
rnacentral:rRNA from 1 species